UACGUAGGGUGCGAGCGUUGUCCGGAAUUAUUGGGCGUAAAGAGCUUGUAGGCGGUCUGUCGCGUCUGCUGUGAAAAUCCGGGGCUCAACCCCGGACUUGCAGUGGGGUACGGGCAGACUAGAGUGUGGUAGGGGAGACUGGAAUUCCUGGUGUAGCGGUGAAAUGCGCAGAUAUCAGGAGGAACACCAAUGGCGAAGGCAGAUCUC
rnacentral:rRNA from 1 species